GUCAUCUGCUCUUCAGGGCUUCCUCCCCAAGUUGUUCGUGCUUUGGCUUGAAACAAGUGCAACUCCCGAAUGGCUACUUUCACCGGUGCGGUGGCUCUUUGCGUGCUUUUGAAUACCGCGUUGCUGUUCUCAGCCGAAGCACAAGAACCACAACAUGGGAACACUGAAGACUCCUCUACUGUGCCGGGAGAAACCAACACAGGCACGGAGCUUACUAUGGCGAUGCGAAGUGACGACAAGAUAGCAGAAGCUGUCCCUGUCGGAGGUCCAGAUAAGGAUUGAGGCGCGCGGCAUCAGCCGUGCAAUCGCCACCUGUGAAGGAUGCGUGGUGUAAUUAAAGCAUCAUUCCGGAUGGGAA